AGUUCGGAUUGUAGUCUGCAACCCGACUACAUGAAGCUGGAAUCGCUAGUAAUCGCGGAUCAGAAUGCCGCGGUGAAUACGUUCCCGGGUCUUGUACACACCGCCCGUCACACCAUGGGAGUCGGAAAUGCCCGAAGUCUGUGACCCAACCGUAAGGAGGGAGCAGCCGAAGGCAGGUCGGAUGACUGGGGUGAAGUCGUAACAAGGUACC
rnacentral:rRNA from 1 species